GGGGUAACUGAUUGCUAUUGCACCACAUGUGUUUUUCUUUGAAACAAACUUGCUUUGGCGGUGGGCCCAGCCUGCCGCCAGAGGUCUAAACUUACAACCAAUUUUUUAUUAACUUGUCACACCAGAUUAUUACUAAAUAGUCAAAACUUUCAACAACGGAUCUCUUGGUUCUCGCAUCGAUGAAGAACGCAGCGAAAUGCGAUACGUAAUAUGAAUUGCAGAUAUUCGUGAAUCAUCGAAUCUUUGAACGCACAUUGCGCCCUCUGGUAUUCCGGAGGGCAUGCCUGUUUGAGCGUCGUUUCUCCCUCAAACCGCUGGGUUUGGUGUUGAGCAAUACGACUUGGGUUUGCUUGAAAGACGGUAGUGGUAAGGCGGGAUCGCUUUGACAAUGGCUUAGGUCUAACCAAAAACAUUGCUUGCGGCGGUAACGUCUACCACGUAUAUCUUCAAACUUUGACCUCAAAUCAGGUAGGACUACCCGCUGAACUUAAGCAUAUCAAAAGGCGGAGGAA
rnacentral:rRNA from 1 species